UACGAAGGGGGCUAGCGUUGUUCGGAAUUACUGGGCGUAAAGCGCACGUAGGCGGUUUGUUAAGUGAGGGGUGAAAUCCCAGGGCUCAACCCUGGAACUGCCUUUCAUACUGGCAAUCUCGAGUCCGAGAGAGGUGAGUGGAAUUCCGAGUGUAGAGGUGAAAUUCGUAGAUAUUCGGAAGAACACCAGUGGCGAAGGCGACUCACUGGACACGUAUUGACGCUGAGGUGCGAAAGCGUGGGGAGCAAACAGG
rnacentral:rRNA from 1 species